UUCAUGGAGAGUUUGAUCCUGGCUCAGGACGAACGCUGGCGGCGUGCCUAAUACAUGCAAGUCGAGCGGACCGACGG
rnacentral:rRNA from 2 species